rnacentral:misc_RNA from 1 species
UCAAACUUGGUCAUUUAGAGGAAGUAAAAGUCGUAACAAGGUCUCCGUAGGUGAACCUGCGGAGGGAUCAUCAAAGGAUUUUCUUAAGAAAAAAAAGAGACGACUUGUCUCUUUUUUUUCUCCAAACAAACGAUCACAACUAUUGAAAGAAUGCAAGGUUUUUCGAGGGGAUUGAUUGAUUUGGUGGAAACAAACAAGUGUUUGCCUGAUAAUCUGAUGGUUGGAAAGAGAAAAGAAAUACAACUUUCAACAACGGAUCUCUUGGCUCUCACAUCGAUGAAGAACGCAGC